rnacentral:rRNA from 1 species
GACGAACGCUGGCGGCGUGCCUAAUACAUGCAAGUAGAACGCUGAAGAGAGGAGCUUCCUCUUCUUGGAUGAGUUGCGAACGGGUGAGUAACGCGUAGGUAACCUGCCUUGUAGCGGGGGAUAACUAUUGGAAACGAUAGCUAAUACCGCAUAACAAUGGAUGACACAUGUCCUUUAUUUGAAAGGGGCAAUUGCUCCACUACAAGAUGGACCUGCGUUGUAUUAGCUAGUAGGUGAGGUAAUGGCUCACCUAGGCGACGAUACAUAGCCGACCUGAGAGGGUGAUCGGCCACACUGGGACUGAGACGCGGCCCAGACUCCUACGGGAGGCAGCAGUAGGGAAUCUUCGGCAAUGGGGGCAACCCUGACCGAGCAACGCCGCGUGAGUGAAGAAGGGUUUCGGAUCGUAAAGCUCUGUUGUAAGUCAAGAACGGGUGUGAGAGUGGAAAGUUCACACUGUGACGGUAGCUUACCAGAAAGGGACGGCUAACUACGUG